rnacentral:lncRNA from 1 species
ACUAACUAACCACCCCCCCCCAAAAAAAAAGGGGGUGGGGGGGUUAUACCUAACAAUAUAAAAAACUUAAUUGAAUGAAUGUUUUGCCCUACAUUAUUAUUCUAAUUUUUUUUUAUUUUUUAGUUUUGCUAGAGAUUUUGUAAAGAAAAUAUAUUUUGUGUGUGUGCUCUGAUCUGACCAUUCUGGAGCCGAGUCGCACCACCUGUAUUGAGCUGCUGAAGGAGAAGCCUCUGGAAUGUAAACAUGUUAUUCUGCUCUGCUUAGCCGCUUCACAUAGAAAACACUUGUGCGAAUGUAGAUGUUUUCUAUUCCUCUGGAAAACACCUCUUGGGUCCCAGGGAAGACUUUUUUCUCCCACAGGGUGACGUUUUCUAUUUCCUCUGGGAAACACCUCUCGAUUCCCAGGGGAGGACUUUUUUAUUUCAAUGUAUAAAAGACGGGACGUUGCUGGAAUCGUAGAAGUCAGCUGGAUGGUUAUGUACGACACCAGCCAAGUCGAAGCUGUCCUUACCGGGGUUAUGUCGACUUCCCAUCUCCCAUAUCAGUGGUACCCGAGGGUGUGGGAGUUGGUCUCCGAACGGACGCUCAGGGGACCUUCCAAGAGCCACUAUGGAAAACCACAACAACCGGUCCACUGGCAGUGUCGCUGUCCUGAGACCGAGGAUCAUCGACCUCUCCUUCUCAGUGGAGAGCAUUCCGGCCCUUCAGCUUCAAAGGGCCUCUAUCUGAAGUGAAGUGCCUAUCACGUCACAGGAGGGCGUGGUAUGAUCUGAUGGGCCUCUCCAACUCUUCCGAUGGAAAGGUAACAAGAAAUAUACUGUCGAACACAGGAAAAAGGAUCUCUCAUGGAUUACAACAAGUAGGUGUGUGGAUGCCGUCAGUAGCAGAAAGAGACUGCUGAUCUGCUCGUCCAUACGCUUUCAUGGCACAUGGAGAUGUGGAACCUCACCAGUGAGAUUUUGACGACUAUUACUGGUACCUUGAACUUGACUGAUUGUAACGUACGAAUGUUAGACAUGAAUCUACAAC